rnacentral:lncRNA from 1 species
GAAAUGGAGAGGGAGAGCCUGCAGGAGGAUGAGAUCUGGGGGACACAUUGAGGUGUCCCUUCAGGCAUUUCUAUGAACUUCUUGAACUUUCAGCUGGGCACAGGAAAAUGAGAAGCAGGGAUUCCCAGCAAAGGAGAACCAUGAGUCACAGGGAAAAGUCUGGCCGGAAGCUGCUGACACACAUUCUCAGAGGACCAUGGCAAGUAUGUUAAUGAUUUACAAGGGUGGAUGGGAGAGCCCUGGAACCUGGCCUUCGGAACAUGAGCUCAUGGACCUGAGAUUGGGGCUGUUUAUACCUAACGUGACUGGGAAUUAGUUAUCUUUUCUUCUUGGGGACCAAGGAGAAAAGAUGAACAGCUGGAGUU